rnacentral:lncRNA from 10 species
CACGCCUGGCCAAUAACUCAAUAACCACAUGGCCGUAAGUGUUCAUAGAGGUAGCUGGAGAUGGCUGGAGGCCUGGCAGGAGCAAAGUAAUAAGGGCUUGGGCAUUAUGCUAAAAAGUUUGAAUUUUGUUUUGAAGGCUCUUGAGAGACACUGGAGGAUUUUAGGGAUGGGGUGAUAUAACCUGUGACAGCUGACUUUUUGUUUCUUUUCUCUUUCCUCAUCUGUUCUUUCUUUUGUGAGGACCUGCCAGGCACUGCGCUAAACACUCUACAAACGUUGCCAUAUUGUUAUCCUCACAGUAACCCUUGUUUUAGAGCUGAUUUGAUUACAUUUAAAUUUCACAAUAAUCACUUGGGUGCUAAUGCGAAGGUUGGAUUCUUAGCAGGUUUUUAUGGUGAGCGAUGAGAUCAGAAAUGAUGAGGCCUAAAUAGAAGAAAUGGAGAGGGAGAAAAAUAAACACAAAUAUAAAAACAUGUAAAGUCUUCAGGUAGAGUCAUGAUGACUUGAUGCAGAGGUAGGGAGGAGGAAUGACUUCCAGCUUUCUGGCUUUAGCAACAGGAUGGUUGGAGAUCCCCUUCCUGGGGUAGGGAGCCCAGAAGGAGGAAGAAGCCAGGGUAGGAGCAAAAUUGGGUGAAGGAAAAGGUGAGUCCAGGUUUGAAUGAGUACAACUACAGCUAUACUUUUUUCUUUAG